UAACACCGGUUCCCGUACGGCUACCAAAGUUAAGCAACGUUGGACUAGUUCAGUACAUAGAUGAGAGACUGCUUGGGAAUACCAGGUUCUGUAAU